AUGAUAAAUCAAAUAAAAUGUUUCUUUCCUAAAGUGUUAAUUACGUCGAAUGAAAGUUAAUUACAGUAUAACUUCUUUAAAUUAAUACUCUAUAAAUUAAUUAUAUACACUAAAAAUUUCUAUAAAAUAAUAUAAUUUUAUAGUCUCAAAUUGAGUUUUUGGUUCAAUUAGUAUAUCGAUAAAUUAAUAUCUCUAUAAAUUAAUAAAAAAAUUAUAGUUUCGGUGUAAUCCCAACAUUAUUAAUUUAUAGAGGUUUUACUGUAUUACCUUUUUCCUCAGAGAAAUAAUUAAUUCAUAAUUGUUGUAAAAGAAAAUAAAAAAAUAUGUUAAAAAUAUACUAAUCUAAGAUACCAAGCCUUCUAGCGAAAGAGGUGUUCACCUAUUAGCUAACUUCCACGCAGAGCCGAUCCUAGAGUUUAGGUGACUAGAAGCAAAAAAAAAAAAAAAUUGGCAACUUAUGAGAAUCUAAACCGGGUUUGCCUUUCAUCUAGACAUAGAACUUAAUGUUAUACCACUAGACUAAGGCAACUUUUGGAAAAAAAUGUGACCGAAUUCUAAUGAUAAAUAUGUCGGCUGGAAGCAAUUGCUUCUUUUGCUUGACCCAAGGGCCGCCAGCCCUGCUUCCACGCUAUCUCCCGAGGAGGAGCGAGUUUGCAUAAGAGACAUUGCUAUUGCUGCUGAGUCUAACAGAGCAAAGAGGGUGAUACGUUUUAUCUCAUCACUCAAGAGGUGUUCCACGCUCGCUAUUCUCCACUUGUUGCUUGGCUUUAAGAUCCAUGAAGCACAAGUUGGAAACAUUCGUGAACUUUCCAAUUCAUGACUUGGAUUUGACAAAGUAUGUAGCCAACAAAAAUCUCUCUCAACCACAACUCUAUGAGCUCUAUGCUUUGACCAACCAUUACGGUGGUAUGCGAAGCGGACACUACACCCCACAUAUCAAGCUUUUGGAGGAGAAUAGUUGGUAUAGUUUUGAUGAGGACUUUUAACGUCAUAUAUCACAUAUAAAUGAGGAUGAUCUGAAGUCAGGUGCUGCUUAUGUGCUCUUCUACAGAAGAAGUCUCUGAUGCAGGUGGAAACAUAUACUUAGCAUGGGAACAUAAUCUUCUUAGUUUAGUAUCCAUGAAAGAUAAUUUUUUCUCUGGAGAUUUACACUUUUUAACAUGUUAUAUAUAUUUAAACCUGGUUUGAUAAUAUUAUUAUUAACAUGUCCUCAAUCAAAAGGAAGAAAAUAUCACAUAUAUGUGAAAGUUAGUUUGAUAUAUUUCUAAAUUCAGUAAUUAACAUUCUUAUAUUAAAAGUUCAUUGAUAUUAUAUUCAAUUAAACUUAUAAAGCUUGAUAUGAUUGGUUACAUUAUUCUUGUUAUAUUUUUCUGUAACAAACGAUUGGUUACAUUAUUGGACAUGACAAAAGAGAUUCAGAAUUGAUGUCUUAUUGAAAAAGAUUCUUUGACCAAAACAUUUUACGUUCCUUUCUUGAAUUGUUACCAUCUUUUUCUUUCUCUCUUUGUCGGCUCAGUCAUUAAUAUAAAAAAGCCCGUUAAUAACAAUAAAAAUAACAUUCGGAAAAUCCAAAUUUUCACAAUAUACAUUUGAUAAACAUCACCAAAGAAAGAUUAAAAAAAAAACAAAACAAGACUUGGACUACAACUAGUGAAAUAUAUUUCUGAUAUAUUUAAGAGACGACCCCAAGCCAAUAAGAUUGCCAAAUUGCUCAAAUACUCUGCCAUUUUCAUCAAGAAAAAGAAAAUCAAAAGACAAUAACUUUGUGUAGACCCAAAGGUUGUGUGUGGAAAUGAAAUUGCUGGAGGGUGAUUAGAUGACCAUUUGGAUUUGUUGCCCUCUCUCAUUUCUCAUUUCUCAUUUCUCUUUAUUACCAAAAACGCACCCACACUUUUGACCCACAUCCACUUUCUUUAUUUUUCUUCCUUAAUGUUCUAUCAGAUCAUGCGUUUCUUUUAAACCCACCCUAAAACAUAUAUUAUCUUGAGUUUAAUAUUUAUGUUUACACAUAUAUAGACACACAAGUUUCUAUGUAGAUAUAUAGUCCCAACAUUUUUGACGUUUGGAUUAUUGGAUAGUUCAUUAUAUCAGAUGUACUGGAAUUCUCUAAUUUACAAUUAUAUUAGUCUAGUAUACAAUUAUAUUCGAGUAAAAUCCUAUAAUCUAUAGUUUUGAUAUGAAUAGUGACUAAAUGCGCACUGAGUGAACAUUAAUUUUUUGCUUCCCCCGAGAGAUAUGAUAAAUUGGUAAUC